rnacentral:ncRNA from 1 species
UAAUUGAAGAGUUUGAUCCUGGCUCAGAGCGAACGCUGGCGGCGUGCUUAACACAUGCAAGUCAAACGGAUCCGGGGGGCAACUCCUGGGUUAGUGGCGAACGGGUGAGUAACACGUGGGUAAUCUUCCCCCGAGUGAGGAAUAAGUCUGCGAAAGCGGGUCUAAUACCGCAUGAUACUUCGGGACAUAAGUCCUCGGAGUCAAAGCCGUAAGGCGCUUGGGGAUGAGCCUGCGUCCUAUUAGCUAGUUGGUAGGGUAAUGGCCUACCAAG